rnacentral:rRNA from 1 species
UAUCCUGCUCAGGAUGACGCUGGCGGCGUGCUUAACACAUGCAAGUCGAACGAAGCACUUGCAGCGGACUGGAGAGCUUGCUCAAAGGGAAGCAGCAUUUGACUGAGUGGCGACGGGUGAGUAACGCGUGGAUAACCUGCCUCAUACAGGGGGAUAACAGUUGGAAACGGCUGUUAAUACCGCAUAAGCGCACGAAACCGCAUGGUUUUGUGUGAAAAACUCCGGUGGUAUGAGAUGGGUCCGCGUCUGAUUAGCUAGUUGGCAGGGUAACGGCCUACCAAGGCGACGAUCAGUAGCCGGCCUGAGAGGGUGUACGGCCACAUUGGGACUGAGACACGGCCCAAACUCCUACGGGAGGCAGCAGUGGGGAAUAUUGCACAAUGGGGGAAACCCUGAUGCAGCGACGCCGCGUGGGUGAAGAAGUAUUUCGGUGUGUAAAGCCCUAUCAGCAGGGAAGAAAAUGACGGUACCUGACUAAGAAGCCCCGGCUAACUACGUG